rnacentral:rRNA from 1 species
UUUUAUUUGAGAGUUUGAUCCUGGCUCAGGAUGAACGCUGGCGGCGUGCCUAACACAUGCAAGUUGAGCGAUUUACUUCGGUAAAGAGCGGCGGACGGGUGAGUAACGCGUGGGUAACCUACCCUGUACACACGGAUAACAUACCGAAAGGUAUGCUAAUACGGGAUAAUAUAUUUGAGAGGCAUCUCUUAAAUAUCAAAGGUGAGCCAGUA